rnacentral:misc_RNA from 1 species
AGCGCCCGCGCCCCACGGCCCUUGUGAAAAGUAAACCCUCUACCCUCUCUGAGCGGCAAAGGAUCGAAUAUUGGAGCGGCAAACACGCUACUAAACAGCAAAAGCCACAACUCAUGGCAUCUUUUUCUUAAGAGCAGCAGAGAUCUAUACUUGCUAGCUCAUUUUCCUCUAAUUGCAUACAAUGUUCGGCACUCCAUCCUCAGCGCCUGCAUUUGGCACUCCAUCCUCUGCGCCUGCAUUUGGUACGCCCUCUUCAACUCCGGCGUUUGGUACUCCAUCUUCGACUCCGGCCUUUGGAGCUCUGUCUUCGACUCCGGCCUUUGGAGCUCCAUCGACGCCGUCUUUCGCCACCGGCUUCGGCUCCUCCCUUUUCUCCACCCCAUUCUCGUCUCAAACGCAACAGCAACAACAGACUCCGUUUUUUCUGCAGCCGUCUACUGGUUUAGGAUUUCAGACUCCAUUUGCUGCUCCUCAGACGACGCUGUUCC